GUCAGUGUGGCAGAGUGGUUUGAACAUUAGACUAUGACUCUGGAGACCAGGGUUCGAUUCCUUGCUUGGCCA